rnacentral:rRNA from 1 species
AUUGAACGCUGGCGGCAUGCUUUACACAUGCAAGUCGAACGGCAGCGCGGGCUUCGGCCUGGCGGCGAGUGGCGAACGGGUGAGUAAUGCAUCGGAACGUGCCCAGUAGUGGGGGAUAGCACGGCGAAAGCCGGAUUAAUACCGCAUACGACCUGAGGGUGAAAGCGGGGGAGCGAAAGGCCUCGCGCUAUUGUAGCGGCCGAUGUGGGAUUAGCUAGUUGGUGGGGUAAAGGCUUACCAAGGCGGCGAUCCGUAGCUGGUCUGAGAGGACGACCGGCCACACUGGGACUGAGACACGGCCCAGACUCCUACGGGAGGCAGCAGUGGGGAAUUUUGGACAAUGGGGGCAACCCUGAUCCAGCCAUGCCGCGUGCGGGAAGAAGGCCUUCGGGUUGUAAACCGCUUUUGUUCGGGAAGAAAUCCUCUGGGCUAAUACCCCGGGGGGAUGACGGUACCGGAAGAAUAAGCACCGGCUAACUACGUG